rnacentral:rRNA from 1 species
UACCUAGUAGUAUGGGAUAGCCACUAGAAAUGGUGGGUAAUACUGUAUAAUCCCUGCGGGGGAAAGAUUUAUCGCUAUUAGAUGAGCCUAUGUCAGAUUAGCUAGUUGGUGGGGUAAUGGCCUACCAAGGCGGUGAUCUGUAGCUGGUCUGAGAGGAUGAUCAGCCACACUGGAACUGAGACACGGUCCAGACUCCUACGGGAGGCAGCAGUGGGGAAUAUUGGACAAUGGGCGCAAGCCUGAUCCAGCUAUGCCGCGUGAGUGAGGAAGGCCUUAGGGUUGUAAAACUCUUUCAGUAGGGAAGAUAAUGACGGUACCUACAGAAGAAGUCCCGGCAAACUCCGUGCCAGCAGCCGCGGUAAUACGGAGGGGGCAAGCGUUGUUCGGAAUUAUUGGGCGUAAAGGGCAUGUAGGCGGUUUGGUAAGUUAAAGGUGAAAUACCAGGGCUUAACCCUGGGGCUGCUUUUAAUACUGCAGGACUAGAGUCCGGAAGAGGAUAGCGGAAAUUUCCUA